UUAACACAAGAGUAGUAUAUAGAGAUUGCCCCUUUAUUGAUGGGAUGCCGAUUCGAAUCCUGACUAUUGUGUUAAUGCAUCCAGAUAACUGGGUGCUUUUAAAA
rnacentral:sRNA from 19 species